AACCGAAACUAGCUUGAGGAGCCUGGAGACGCCAAGGGCUCCAUGGGAAGGGGUGGGACCGGAAUUUCGACGCCUUGGGAUAGGAAGAGGAGGGCUGAGGGCAACUCAUUGAGGUUAAAAUCAUUCUAUCUCCUUUAGAAACUUCAAAACUGAUCUUAGUUCAAGAAAGAAGUUACUAUUCAGUGAUCACCGAGGCUCUAACAAGUGGAGCCUAGAUUCGAAACCAAACCCUGUGACUUCAACACCCAAACAUUUACGUUCUUACGUUUUACUGUACAGCCUUCCUCCUGGAUAAAUCAGAUUAAAAUUUUGAAGACAUGUAUAUAGCUUGUCAGGGUAGUACAGUUAUUAAUUCUGUGGUUACCACAUUCUUUUAUAUCUCAAGACUCCCAGCCCCAG
rnacentral:lncRNA from 1 species